rnacentral:rRNA from 1 species
GAUGAACGCUAGCUACAGGCUUAACACAUGCAAGUCGAGGGGAAACGGCAUUGAGUGCUUGCACUCUUUGGACGUCGACCGGCGCACGGGUGAGUAACGCGUAUCCAACCUUCCCAUUACUGUGGGAUAACCUGCCGAAAGGCAGACUAAUAUCGCAUAGUCUUCGAUGACGGCAUCAGAUUUGAAGUAAAGAUUUAUCGGUAAUGGAUGGGGAUGCGUCUGAUUAGCUUGUUGGCGGGGUAACGGCCCACCAAGGCGACGAUCAGUAGGGGUUCUGAGAGGAAGGUCCCCCACAUUGGAACUGAGACACGGUCCAAACUCCUACGGGAGGCAGCAGUGAGGAAUAUUGGUCAAUGGGCGAGAGCCUGAACCAGCCAAGUAGCGUGCAGGAUGACGGCCCUAUGGGUUGUAAACUGCUUUUGUAUGGGGAUAAAGUCAGUCACGUGUGAUUGUUUGCAGGUACCAUACGAAUAAGGACCGGCUAAUUCCGUGCCAGCAGCCGCGGUAAUACGGAAGGCCCAGGCGUUAUCCGGAUUUAUUGGGUUUAAAGGGAGCGUAGGCCGGAGAUUAAGUGUGUUGUGAAAUGUAGACGCUCAACGUCUGACUUGCAGCGCAUACUGGUUUCCUUGAGUACGCACAACGUUGGCGGAAUUCGUCGUGUAGUGGUGAAAUGCUUAGAUAUGACGAAGAACUCCGAUUGCGAAGGCAGCUGACGGGAGCGCAACUGACGCUUAAGCUCGAAGGUGCGGGUAUCAAACAGG